CUGAUGUGUGGAAAUGACUGGAAGCAAACAGACAGCAGGCUUGCAAAAUCUAAAUAGAAUAAAGUGGUCAAAGGUGCCUUAAACCUGGCCUGUAAAAGCUUUUAGGUGCUAGAAUAAUCUCAGUGCACUCAAACUGCCACCAGAAUAAGUGGGUUUCAAAAGCUGGGCAAACUCCUAGAAGUGCAUCCAUUAUAAUCCUCACCUCGGAGAGGAAAGAUCGAGGUCCACAGAGGACAAUGCACAAGGAAGAUUCUCCCAGAAAGCAGACUCGGGAGUUGCCAGCUUGUGUAACCAAUGAGCUUCCCCUGUGCUAAGGCCCAGAGUCCUCACCACGUCUGCCAGGCAGAAUUUGAUGAUAGCUAUGGACCAGUGACCACCACAUGUUUCCCAUCAUCCCCUUUCCUGAAUGGUAGUUUUUGUUUAUUACGUUUACCUGUUCCUUCUCCGCUGCUGCAUAUUGAGUGGUUAGAGGCAGAUGACAUCUUUCUUCCUGCCUGGAAUGUGGUCACUCUAUUGGGAAGAAAAGAGCCACCAAGUGUGACCGCCAUGAGAAGCAGAAAGACAAAAGGAGUUUGAACCCUGGGGGGUUAUUAAAGCCAUGCAUGUACUCUGCAUUCUCAACUCCUGAACUUCUUAUUAGGAGGUGGAGUCUUUGGAGGUGAUGAGGUCAUGAGUGUGGAGCCCUUCUAGAAGAGAUUCCACAGCGCUCACUAGUCCCUGCUGCCAUGUGAAGAUACAGUAAGAAGUCUUCAAGCUGACCAGGUGCCAGCACCCUGAAACUGGACUUCCAACCUCCAGAACGGAAACCUUCUCUCUGGCCCUCUUCCCCCACCACCUCACCACGACAUAGAGAAAAAGUCGAGAACUGCGAAUCUAUAGUUUGGAAGGAGAAUGCUAAAAAAUAUUCUUUUUUGGAGAUCCUUCAUCAAGAAACACGGGAACCACAAUUCUAUAAUCAUAUAUUGAUUGGAACUGGACCGCUCCUUAGAAGUAUGUUUUCGAGGCCAGAAGCACUAAGCUAGCCCACAGUGUCGGAGACUUUAAUCCCUGGUAUUUUGAUGUCCUAUUUCUUUACAGCUUGAUUUCAGUUAAUGCCUUUCUCUCUUUUAUUUUCCCUUUCACCACCUACAGAUAUGGAAUAUGUCCCAGCAUAGUUUCCUUCACCAACUGUCAAGCUAUAGAGGAAGGUAUUCCAUUAAGGGGUUAUAACUAUAGUCAAGAGUAGCAAAAAACAGGAAGAAUAGGAAAGUGGAGGAACAGCCCCAAGUAAUAGGGGUUAUCUGGACCAACAGUGGCUAAUGACCAUGAUGUUCAUUGCAGUAAAUAAGCUAGGAAAGGCUAUUUCACAGUGUUCUUUUUUUGUUUGUUUUUAAUGUCUAUGUAUUUAUUUUGAGGGAGAGAGA